AAGUCGUAACAAGGUUUCCGUAGGUGAACCUGCGGAAGGAUCAUUAAAGAAUAUCGAGCUUCACAGCUCUUAUUCUCACCCUUUGUAUAUCAAACUUUGGCAGCGCCUUUUAGGGGCCUGCCCAGAGGACCCGAAACCCUUGAAUUCUGCCGUCUGAGUACUAUAUAAUAGUUAAAA
rnacentral:misc_RNA from 1 species